GUGAGUCGUCCUUAACCUGUUUCAUCCCAUGUUUUUUCUGCUUCUCUGGUGGUUUGGAAAAGUCUCUUGGAUUCUCAUGGGUUAAGUGAGAAGCACCAACCUGUCCUUUUCGGACACAUGUACCACAGAAGAUAUCACAGAGUCCACUGACGGCUUGGCUGAGGCAAAGGACAGCUUCUACCACGCCGAUCCCCAGCAGGAUGGAGAACAAGACCACGUUCCAGAGGACGAUGUGCUCAGGCUCUUGACAGUUAGCCCAGGACACAACACGGGUCCUGGACAUUGUACGUGAGCCCUCAUGCCCUGCUCCUGACCUGCCACCAGAGCCUCACCUCUCCUCUGUAGAGACGUCUUGACACACCACCUUAUG